CAAGAAUUUCCUGGCACAGGGCCACCCCUUCCUUCCCACUCCAGGAAGUGAGAGGACAGAGCCCAGGGCUGGUUCCAUCCUAGAAGUCAGGUCUGGGGCCUGGUGCAGCACAGCCAACAGAGCUGCUAAUAUCGCUGGAGCCUGCCCCGGGCCGUCGGAGCUUGUCACAGGAUGCGGAGGUGGGCAGCUGGCCACAGAGGGGACUUGCGCAGGGAGUCCUGCCUGGCCAGGGCCUUGGGAAACACUUGCAUGUUGCAGUCAUGCAGCUCCCCAGGAGGAAAGGCUGCGUUUCCUUCACGAGGGGGAAGUGGGGUAGGCCAUCGGAGCUGCUGUUUAAGGAGGAAAUUUGAGAGCAGCGUCCUCACUCGAGCCAGCACCUGGAGAUGCCCCCCGCCCCAGGAAGACUCUGGAAUCGGAGUGAGAAACUCCAGAGGGCCAGGCCCAUAGCCAGAGCCCUGGGCUGAGGCUGAGCCCGUUAACUGUGCACUCCGGCUCAGCAGGCCAGGCCCCAGCGACUCCCCUGGAACAUUGCAGUUGAUUCUUGCUGUUGGUGCAACGCCUGCCUGGCCGGUGCCCCUGCCUCACACACACACCAAGUCAGCCUCCGGAAGAACCAAUAGGUUCAAGAAGAGUUUAUACAUCUGGCCUGCAGAGAUUUAUCUAAUGUUUAUUAAGUGAUCAUGUGCCCAGAGCCUGGAGCCAGACUGCCUACAUACAACCCUGGAUAACCACUCAGGGCUGCGUGGCUCUGGAGGUGUCCCUUCCGGUCCCUUUUCCAGUGUCCACCCUUUGCGGAAGUUCGGAGAAUCACAUGAGAAAGGACGCAUGAAAUACUCCCUCCCCAGGCCACCCUGUGCAUGGGGCUUCAAUGAGCAACAACGCUUACUAUGGUCAGCAAACAGCUCCUGCAUGGCGGACAACUGCUACCUGGUCCUCAGAUGACCGUCACAAGCCCCACCGUGUGCUCCACACCUGACGAGGCCUGUCACAGUGCUGGCGACGUCUCACAGUCCGAGGCGACACGACCACUUGUCUCACCUACUCAAGGCUCCGGGUUACAGGAACAGAUCUUGGCGGGGGUCCCAUAUGAUGCUACUAGGGACACUUGUGCCCUGGGAGACAUUAAAACAUUUGCCACUGUGAAACCUAGGGGACAUGUACUUUUAACCCUUCUGAGCCUCAGUUGCGAGGAAUAAAUGAAUAAAUCUACUUGAAAUGUUCAGAACAAAGCCAGGUCCGUGACAUAGCGAGAAUUAAACGUUGAUACAUGUAUCAGUUAUUCCUGAGUACCUCUCAUGGAGCUAUUAUUUGACACAUGGGGAAAGUGAGGCACAGAACUUAACACAGGCCUUAUGACACUAUGAGCUGUUACUCCCUACAAGUAUUCAUCCAUUCAAUGAAUAUGUAUGAAGCUACCGGGUAUAGCUGUGCAUACCUGUAAACCCAGCACUCCGAGAAGAGGGUCAAAGUUUGAGUUCCGUCUGAGUAAUACAGCUAGUGAGCCGUCUUAGAUACUUUCUUGCCUCAAAAUUUAUGAAAAAGGGCUGGGGAUGUAGCUCAAGGUAAAGGCCCUGGGUUCCAUCCUCAGUAACACCCAAAACGAUAAUAGAAAUAGAAACAAAUGAAAAAAAGAAGGAGGAGGAGGAGGAGGAGGAGGAGGAGGAGGGGAAGGGGAAGAGGAACAGGAUGAAGAAAACGAAGGAAGAAGAAGAA
ensembl:lincRNA